GACGUAGGAUGCAAGCGUUGUCCGGAUUUAUUGGGCGUAAAGAGUUCGUAGGUGGUUUGUUAAGUCUGAUGUAAAAGACUGGGGCUCAACCUCGGGACUGCAUUGGAUACUGGCAGACUUGAGUGCGGUAGAGGCAAGUGGAAUUCCAGGUGUAGCGGUGAAAUGCGUAGAUAUCUGGAAGAACACCGGUGGCGAAAGCGACUUGCCGGGCCGUAACUGACACUGAGGAACGAAAGCUAGGGGAGCGAAUGGG
rnacentral:rRNA from 1 species